rnacentral:lncRNA from 1 species
AUUUAUAGAUGUAAAAGUUGAAAACAAUUCAUAUAUUUUGGAGAAUCAUUAUGAUGUAAAAAGAAAUUAUGAAUAAAAGCAAAUGGAUAUAAUAGUUUUAGUUUACUAGUAUUUGGUUUAAAUGUAAUCAAAUAUUAUAUAUGGUUGUAUGUUUUAGCUUAGAGCUUUCGCUUUCGUUGUUGCUUGCCCUCGCGCAAGCCUUAUAUAAUUGGAAAUCUCUUUGUUUGAUUGCUUAAUUAUACUUGUGGUUGGAGCCUUGGGCGGGCAGGGGAGGCCCUAUCCGUUCGGCGUCUGUUGACGUGGCCCGAACCCGACCAAAUUGG